AUCCUCCGCAUUUCCCACCCGAUAAGUUCCCUCAACUGCUGUGUUUUCUCUGUAGCUACUUCCUCUACUGUUUUUUAUGUUGAGUUGAUGUUUAAAUUGGGUUAACAUUUGAUCUGCUUAUGGCUUUUUUGGAAAUUAAAAACUACUGUUUCUUUCUUGCAUGGGUUUUCAGUUUUGAGUUUUAAAAUCCAAGCACAAUCUUGUAUAUGUGCUAGAAACCAUGUCUUUUCACACCAUCUUCCACAGCAGAAUCUUGGUUUGUAAGGAUACCAGUUUAAAUUUGUCUUUCUUGAGUUCUGUUUGAAAUUGUGCACAGACUGUGUUUUUGAUGAGGUAAUUUAGUUCUUUCCAUUUCAUGGUAUGACUGCACAUAUUCUCAAAGACAUUAUCUUGAUUUUGUGCUGGUUAUGUACUGCAAUAAAGGGCUUUUUCUUUAGAUAAAUAAAUGAGGUCUGCAAAUCUAUAAUUAGAAUUGAAGUGGUGUUAAUAUUUUGGCAGUUGGAUGGCUGCAAAUCUAUAGUUGUAGUAUCUAGAGGCAGUGUUUCCCACAGUAUUGGCUUCUCAAAUAAGAACAAUUUGUAGCCAUUUGCAACCAAUCCUUCUCCACCAUCUCAUCUUUAUUGGUAUAUCUUAAAUCACAACAGCUUUGUUGAGCAUGAUAGAUUUCCGCGCGGUCUUUCGCUUCUCGCCGUUGCUCUGCAUCAUCUUCUUCGCCGUCGGGAUCAGUUCAGGAAGGCCCUGUGCCUGGUUCGGUUCACCAUCAUUUCUCUCAAGCAAUUGAGUGGAAGGAGAGGGCUAAUUAAAGGCUGAGAAGAAAACACAUUCAAUGACAAAAAUACCCCUCAUUUAAACGGUCAAUAGACUGGAAUUUAGACGGAGGACCAAAAGAGGCACUGUUACAAUAAGAGUGGUCAAAAUGUGGCAAAAAAUUUUAUGGCAGACUAAAAGUGUCUGACCCCUAAUAAGUAUAAGACCAAAAAGGGAAUUAACUCCAUCAAAUAUGGAGUAUUAUAUAGUGCAAUUAGGAGAUGAGUUGGAUCGAUUAUGUUUUUUGAUAUUAUACUUACGAAAUCGAGUAAAUAAUUGCUCAAUUAAUAGCUAAUGUGUACAUGUACACAUUCGGUGCUGAAAUUUUGGUGAUUUUAUAUAUCAGUUUUUAAGAUUUUUAUAAAUUUGACAAAUUUAAUUUGGAGCAAUAGGUAAGUUAGCCACUCUUAUAUGUACUCAUUUUUAUAUGUACUACAUUUCAGUGGCAUGACCACUCUUAUACUUUGGAGCAAUAGGUAAGCAUAGCCAGGAAGAUGUCAACUAUUGAUAAAGCAGAAGAGCUCCUCGAAAAACUUCGCAUUGCUUCUUGGGAUCCCUACUAUUCAAGGUUGCUCAAGAAAUCGGGCAAAGAUUCCGUGAAACCAUACUUGCUCUGGGAGGUGGAAAAGCUCUAUUUGAGGUAGAAAUAGGUACAUGGAUGUUUGAUAUAGAUUUUUGAAUGUUGCAUCUUCUUAUGAAUAUAAAAAAUGCCAACUAGAUUCAGUUAACAAGGCAUGAAGGCUAAUUUCAUAGAUAUAUUUGUAGAUUGAUACUUGUUUCUUUUAAAUGAUAUUUGUUGAAGUUAUUUGUA